AUGCUCGGUGGGCAGCUGUCACUCGUGUACACACACACGCACCCACGCGCACAGUGGAUGGAUCACAAGCACAGACACACGGCUGACAAUCGUGCACACGCGCUCGGGCACAUGCACGGUGGACGGAUGUCGCGCACACACGCGUGUGCUCACAGGGUGCGCCCGGCCUGCAGCACGCUGUGCGUUCGUUCCUUACCGCACGUGUGCACACAGACGAGAAGCCGCCGCUGGGAGUGCAGAGACCCCGCCGCGGCCCGAGUCCAUCCAUCAUUCCGCAGCCCGUUCCCAGAUCGCUCACUGCACAGCUCCGGGCGCCCCCAGUAUCCGUUAGUUCUGCUCCGCGAGGGGGGGUCUGCCAUGGGUUCCCCAGAGCAACAGACCCCUGCUGGCCUCCCCGCUACUUCCAGGUCUGUCUGGAACUGGAGGGACCUUGCCCAGAGGAGCGCCGCCGCCGCCCCCAAUGCCACCCCCCGCUGGGGAGCACAGAGCAUCACGCUUCGGGGACAAAGGAAACACUCAGGACAUGGAAUUAGGGAAAUGUCAAAGUCAUACAUGCCAUCGCCUGGAUGCCCGGAGGCCUAGGGCGACGCGUGUUUGUGUUCAGAACCUAAGAGGCGACGGGCCCCCCGCGCACCGGCUCCGAUGGGCUCAAGUCACUACCACGAACGAGCGGGUGAGCGCGGCUGGGCCGCGGGGACCCCCCUCCCCGGCCUGUGCGUGGAGCCCCGACCGCGUCCCGGGUCAGUUUGUCUGGCUGGUGUCCUGGGCACCUCUGGCAGGAAGACCUGGGGGUUUGGGAAAUGCCGCUGCCCUGACUCGAGCGUGGAUGUGGGGCCGACGUAGCACGCGGUGGCGCAGCGGCCUGAGUCAGCUCAGCGCCGGGUUCUGCUGCUGGAAAGAUCUGGAGAAGGAGCCAGCUCUCCUGCAGGAAGGAUCGAGCGCUGGGACCCGGCCGGGGCCUGGGGGCUGCCCCGGAGCCAAUGCUGACUUAGCGCCGGGACGGUGGUGCCCCUGCAUGGGUCACGAGUGCACGUGCGUGUGUGUGUGUGUGUGUGUGUGA
rnacentral:lncRNA from 12 species